rnacentral:rRNA from 1 species
GACGAACGCUGGCGGCGUGCCUAAUACAUGCAAGUUGAGCGCUGAAGGUUGGUACUUGUACCAACUGGAUGAGCAGCGAACGGGUGAGUAACGCGUGGGGAAUCUGCCUUUGAGCGGGGGACAACAUUUGGAAACGAAUGCUAAUACCGCAUAAAAACUUUAAACACAAGUUUUAAGUUUGAAAGAUGCAAUUGCAUCACUCAAAGAUGAUCCCGCGUUGUAUUAGCUAGUUGGUGAGGUAAAGGCUCACCAAGGCGAUGAUACAUAGCCUACCUGAGAGGGUGAUCGGCCACAUUGGGACUGAGACACGGCCCAAACUCCUACGGGAGGCAGCAGUAGGGAAUCUUCGGCAAUGGACGAAAGUCUGACCGAGCAACGCCGCGUGAGUGAAGAAGGUUUUCGGAUCGUAAAACUCGGUUGGUAGAGAAGAACGUUGGUGAGAGUGGAAAGCUCAUCAAGUGACGGUAACUACCCAGAAAGGGACGGCUAACUACGUG